rnacentral:rRNA from 1 species
CUGUGAAGGUGCUGCAUGGUUGUCGUCAGCUCGUGCCGUGAGGUGUCGGCUUAAGUGCCAUAACGAGCGCAACCCUUGUUGUCAGUUACUAACAGGUUCCGCUGAGGACUCUGACAAGACUGCCAUCGUAAGAUGUGAGGAAGGUGGGGAUGACGUCAAAUCAGCACGGCCCUUACGUCCGGGGCUACACACGUGUUACAAUGGGGGGUGCAGAGGGCCGCUACCACGCGAGUGGAUGCCAAUCCCAAAAACCUCUCUCAGUUCGGACUGGAGUCUGCAACCCGACUCCACGAAGCUGGAUUCGCUAGUAAUCGCGCAUCAGCCACGGCGCGGUGAAUACGUUCCCGGGCCUUGUACACACCGCCCGUCAAGCCAUGGGAGCCGGGGGUACCUGAAGUGCGUAACCGCGAGGAGCGCCCUAGGGUAAAACUGGUGACUGGGGCUAAGUCGUAACAAGGUAGCCGUACCGGAAGGUGCGGCUGGAUCACCUC